AUUGAACGCUGGCGGUAUGCUUAACACAUGCAAGUCGAACGGCAGCACAGUCUGUAGCAAUACAUAUGGGUGGCGAGUGGCGGACGGGUGAGUAACGCGUAGGAAUCUACCCUAAAGCGGGGGACAACCCGAGGAAACUCGGGCUAAUACCGCAUAAUCUCGAAAGAGUAAAGCUGGGGCAACCUGGCACUUUAGGAGGAGCCUGCGUCCGAUUAGCUAGUUGGUGAGGUAAAGGCUCACCAAGGCGAUGAUCGGUAGCUGGUCUGAGAGGAGGAUCAGCCACACUGGGACUGAGACGCGGCCCAGACUCCUGCGGGAGGCAGCAGUGGGGAAUAUUGGACAAUGGGGGCAACCCUGAUCCAGCAAUACCGCGUGUGUGAAGAAGGCCUUAGGGUUGUAAAGCACUUUAGUUGGGGAAGAAGGAUAGUUGUUUAAGAGAUGAUUAUUUUGACGGUACCCAAAGAAUAAGCACCGGCUAACUCUGUGCCAGCAGCCGCCGUAA
rnacentral:rRNA from 1 species